UGGGGGAUAUUGCACAAUGGGCGAAAGCCUGAUGCAGCGACGCCGCGUGGGGGAUGAAGGCUUUCGGGUUGUAAACCUCUUUCGCUAUCGAACAAGGCCGCUUAGGGUGGGUUGAGGGUAGGUGGAGAAGAAGCGCCGGCUAACUACGUGCCAGCAGCCGCGGUAAUACGUAGGGCGCGAGCGUUGUCCGGAAUUAUUGGGCGUAAAGGGCUUGUAGGCGGCUUGUUGCGCCUGCUGUGAAAACGCGGGGCUUAACUUCGCGCGUGCAGUGGGUACGGGCAGGCUUGAGUGUGGUAGGGGUGACUGGAAUUCCAGGUGUAGCGGUGGAAUGCGCAGAUAUCUGGAGGAACACCGAUGGCGAAGGCAGGUCACUGGGCCAUUACUGACGCUGAGGAGCGAAAGCAUGGGUAGCGAACAGG
rnacentral:rRNA from 1 species